GAGUUUGAUCAUGGCUCAGAUUGAACGCUGGCGGCAUGCCUUACACAUGCAAGUCGAACGGCAGUACGGGAGCUUGCUCCUGGUGGCGAGUGGCGAACGGGUGAGUAAUGCAUCGGAACGUAUCCUGGAGUGGGGGAUAACGUAGCGAAAGUUACGCUAAUACCGCAUAUUCUGUGAGCAGGAAAGCGGGGGACCUUCGGGCCUCGCGCUCUUGGAGCGGCCGAUGUCGGAUUAGCUAGUUGGUGAGGUAAAGGCUCACCAAGGCGACGAUCCGUAGCAGGUCUGAGAGGAUGAUCUGCCACACUGGAACUGAGACACGGUCCAGACUCCUACGGGAGGCAGCAGUGGGAAUUUUGGACAAUGGGGCAACCCUGAUCCAGCCAUGCCGCGUGAGUGAAGAAGGCCUCGGUU
rnacentral:rRNA from 1 species